rnacentral:rRNA from 1 species
AUUGAACGCUGGCGGCAGGCCUAACACAUGCAAGUCGAGCGGAUGAAGGGAGCUUGCUCCUGGAUUCAGCGGCGGACGGGUGAGUAAUUCCUAGGAAUCUGCCUGGUAGUGUGGGAUAACGUCCGGAAACGGGCGCUAAUACCGCAUACGUCCUGAGGGAGAAAGUGGGGGAUCUUCGGACCUCACGCUAUCAGAUGAGCCUAGGUCGGAUUAGCUAGUUGGUGGGGUAAAGGCCUACCAAGGCGACGAUCCGUAACUGGUCUGAGAGGAUGAUCAGUCACACUGGAACUGAGACACGGUCCAGACUCCUACGGGAGGCAGCAGUGGGGAAUAUUGGACAAUGGGCGAAAGCCUGAUCCAGCCAUGCCGCGUGUGUGAAGAAGGUCUUCGGAUUGUAAAGCACUUUAAGUUGGGAGGAAGGGCAGUAAGUUAAUACCUUGCUGUUUUGACGGUACCAACAGAAUAAGCACCGGCUAACUUCGUG